rnacentral:misc_RNA from 1 species
GAUGAAGAACGUAGCGAAAUGCGAUACGUAAUGUGAAUUGCAGAAUUCAGUGAAUCAUCGAGUCUUUGAACGCACAUUGCGCCCCCUGGUAUUCCGGGGGGCAUGCCUGUCCGAGCGUCAUUGCUGCCCUCAAGCACGGCUUGUGUGUUGGGCCUCCGUCCUCCUCCGGGGGACGGGCCCGAAAGGCAGCGGCGGCACCGCGUCCGGUCCUCGAGCGUAUGGGGCUUCGUCACCCGCUCUUGUAGGCCCGGCCGGCGCUUGCCGACACAUCAAUCUUUUUUCCAGGUUGACCUCGGAUCAGGUAGGGAUACCCGCUGAACUUAAGCAUAUCAAUAAGCGGAGGA